rnacentral:rRNA from 1 species
CAGUCGCCACGGGAAUACGGAGGGUGCAAGCGUUAUCCGGAUUUAUUGGGUUUAAAGGGUCCGUAGGCGGACUUAUAAGUCAGUGGUGAAAGCCUGUCGCUUAACGAUAGAACUGCCAUUGAUACUGUAAGUCUUGAGUAUAUUUGAGGUAGCUGGAAUAAGUAGUGUAGCGGUGAAAUGCAUAGAUAUUACUUAGAACACCAAUUGCGAAGGCAGGUUACCAAGAUAUAACUGACGCUGAGGGACGAAAGCGUGGGUAGCGAACAGGAUUAGAGACCCCCGUAGUCCCUGUCUCUUAUAC